ACAAUUCCUCUUAUUACUCUUCACUAACAUAUCAAAACAUACCAUACUUAAGGUUUUGGUAACAUUUACAAAACAUACCAAAAUAUCACUUAACAACUUAGAUACUUUCAAAAUAACCAAAAGACAUCCUAGGUACAAUGCCAUUUUCUAAAAAGAUAGAAACUUCACCAAUUUGAGUUUGGGGAUCGGCUUGUAUGCUGAGUCUUUAUACUUUCGUACCUAGCCUGUGCACGGAAACAAACCGUACGCUGAGAAUACUCUCAGUGGUAUUUCUAUAAACAAUAGCUUAAUCAACUUUAAAACAUGGUAAUUCAAACACAUUAUUGCUAUUAUUCAAUAUCAAUCAGUACUUCAAUAAUCUUUACUUUAUUUACCCUUAUUAACAUAACUCGGACACUAACGGAUACACGGAUCCAACCCACACUCCGGGAUAAGCACAUAGUGCUUCAUCGGAAUAAAUCCGGAACUUUAACAUUAUAGUACACAAAGUACUUCAUCGGAACAAAUCCGGAACUUUAACAGUAGUCGACACAUAGUGUCUCAUCGACUCAAUGUCGGAAUAUCCCAAUGCUUCCAAUUCCUAUAACAUGUCAACUAUAUCUGACUAGCCCGACACUGUUAAUAGGGUAUUCAAAAUCACAUUCAUUUCAAUAUGGUAAAAAUACUUACCUCAUUCACAUUUUCAUACAAUAUAAAUAUCAAAUAUAGCAAUAACGAUUAAGCUCGGUUUAUAGAAAUACAAACCACUAUUUAUCGAAUUUAAUCGAUAUCUUCGUUCACUUUCUCUUUUCCCUUCUUUGAUGACGUAUCCGGUGCUACGUUUGCUACUAAAAAUCAUACAAUUAAAAAUCAUCAAUAUACUAAUUCAUAAAACACAUUUUUCACUUUCUAUCAAACUUUUACAAAAAUUCCAAUUUCAUCCUUUUUCCAUUACUAAUCUUUUUUUCUUUAACUUAAGCUUCAUAUUCUCUUUUAAUCAACUCAUUAACAAUUUCUAACUCAUAAAAUUCAUUAUAAAACAUAAAUUUUGAGCUCUAUUCAACUUAAUCCCUAUUUAAACCUAACUUAGAAUUCUUUUAAUAAAUCGCUCAAUUUUCACUUCUAACUUCAAUUUCUAUCAAUUUAACCCAUAAAACCUCAAUUUAUUCAACUAAAUCAAUAUUUAAAAAUUUUCUAUUUUUCUUCAUUUUAACCUCAUACAUGUAGAACUUUGAAUUAGGCAUCCAUAAACAUAAAAAUUAUAAGAAAAUAAGCUAAAACAACUUACCAAUCAAGCUUUAAGGCCUUAAUCCUCGAAUUUCCCUUUUCUAUUUCUUUCUUUCUUUCUUUCUUUCUCAUGUUUGCUCUCUGUAACUCUUUCUAUGUUUCUUUAC
rnacentral:lncRNA from 1 species